CCUACGGGUGGCAGCAGUCGAGAAUCAUUCACAAUGGGGGAAACCCUGAUGGUGCGACGCCGCGUGGGGGAAUGAAGGUCUUCGGAUUGUAAACCCCUGUCAUGUGGGAGCAAAUUAAAAAGAUAGUACCACAAGAGGAGGAGACGGCUAACUCUGUUCCAGCAGCCGCGGUAAUACAGGGGUCUCAAGCGUUGGUCGGGAGCACUGGGCGGAAAGCGUGCGUGGGCGGUUCCGUAAGUCGUGCGUGAAAGGGGCGGGCUCAACCCGCGGACGGCACAUGAUACUGGGAGUCUAGAGUAAUGGAGGGGGAACCGGAAUUCUCGGUGUAGCAGUGAAAUGCGUAGAUAUCGAGAGGAACACCGGUGGCGAAGGCGGGUUCCUGGACAUUAACUGACGCUGAGGCACGAAGGCCAGGGGAGCGAACGGGAUUAGAUACCCCAGUAGUC
rnacentral:rRNA from 1 species